GAUGAAGAACGCAGCGAAAUGCGAUAAGUAGUGUGAAUUGCAGAAUUCAGUGAAUCAUCGAAUCUUUGAACGCACAUUGCGCCCCUUGGUACUCCAUGGGGCAUACCUGUUCGAGCGUCAUUUACACCCUCAAGCUCAGCUUGGUGUUGGGCGUCUGUCCCGCUUCGUGCGCGGACUCGCCUCAAAUGCAUUGGCAGCGGUCUUGCCAGCUUCUCGCGCAGCACAUUGCGCUUCUAGAGGCUUUGGCGGAUCGGCGUCCAUCAAGUACACCCACAGUUUGACCUCGGAUCAGGUAGGGAUACCCGCUGAACUUAAGCAUAUCAAUAAGCGGAGGA
rnacentral:misc_RNA from 1 species